ensembl:lncRNA
CCACUACAGUGUCAGGGUUAGACUGGUAGUAACCACUAGAGUGUCAGGUUAGGAGGUUUAGACUGGUAGUAACAACUACAGUGUCAGGUUAGACUGGUAGUAACCACUACAGUGUCAGGUUAGGAGGUUAGACUGGUAGUAACCACUACAGUGUCAGGGUUAGACUGGUAGUAACCACUACAGUGUCAGGUUAGGAGGUUUAGACUGGUAGUAACAACUACAGUGUCAGGUUAGACUGGUAGUAACCACUACAGUGUCAGGUUAGGAGGUUUAGACUGGUAGUAACCACUACAGUGUCAGGUUAGGAGGUUUA